GCAUUAAUGGGGUAGUGGUAACCUGGGUCGUUGCCAUCACGAAAGUGAUCAUGCAUGAUCUAUCGACCCGCCGGGGGUUCGAUUCCCCCUUAAUGCA